AGCUCCAACAGUGUAUGCUAAAGUUGUUGCGGUUGAAAAGCUCGUAGUUGGAUCUUGGGUGGGUGCCGCCGGUCCGUCGCAAGGCGUGUCACUGGCGGCGCCUGCCUUGCCUUCGGUUCUCCGUCGGUGCUCUUGACUGAGUGUCGGCGGUGGCCGAUAAGUUUACUUUGAAAAAAUUAGAGUGUUCAAAGCAGGCUGUUCGCCUGCAUAGUGUUGCAUGGAAUAAUGGAAUAGGACCUCGGUUCUAUUUUGUUGGUUUUCGGAGCACGAGGUAAUGAUUAAGAGGGACAGACGGGGGCGUCCGUACUCUGCCGUUAGAGGUGAAAUUCUUGGAUCGGCGGAAGACGAACUACUGCGAAAGCGUUCGCCAAGAAUGUUUUCUUUAAUCAAGAACGAAAGU
rnacentral:rRNA from 1 species